CCUACGGUGUGCUGCAGUGAGGAAUAUUGGUCAAUGGGCGCGAGCCUGAACCAGCCAAGUAGCGUGAAGGAUGACUGCCCUACGGGUUGUAAACUUCUUUUAUAAAGGACUAAAGUGAGGCACGUGUGCCUUUUUGUCUUUACUUUAUGAAUAAGGAUCGGCUAACUCCGUUCCAGCAGCCGCGGUAAUACGGAGGAUCCGAGCGUUAUCCGGAUUUAUUGUGUUUAAAGGGAGCGUAGAUGGGUGGUUAAGUCAGUUGUGAAAGUUUGCGGCUCAACCGUAAAAUUGCAAUUGAUACUGGCAGUCUUGAGUACAGUUGAGGUAGGCGGAAUUCGUGGUGUAGCGGUGAAAUGCUUAGAUAUCACGAAGAACUCCGAUUGCGAAGGCAGCUUACUAAACUGCCACUGACAUUGAUGCUCGAAAGUGUGGGUAUCAAACAGGAUUAGAUACCCUUGUAGUC
rnacentral:rRNA from 1 species